rnacentral:rRNA from 1 species
GUCGAGGGGCAGCAUGGUCUUAGCUUGCUAAGACUGAUGGCGACCGGCGCACGGUUGAGUAACACGUAUCCAACCUGCCGUCUACUCUUGGACAGCCUUCUGAAAGGAAGAUUAAUACAAGAUGGCAUCAUGAGUCCGCAUGUUCACAUGAUUAAAGGUAUUCCGGUGGACGAUGGGGAUGCGUUCCAUUAGAUAGUAGGCGGGGUAACGGCCCACCUAGUCUUCGAUGGAUAGGGGUUCUGAGAGGAAGGUCCCCCACAUUGGAACUGAGACACGGUCCAAACUCCUACGGGAGGCAGCAGUGAGGAAUAUUGGUCAAUGGGCGAGAGCCUGAACCAGCCAAGUAGCGUGAAGGAUGACUGCCCUAUGGGUUGUAAACUUCUUUUAUAAAGGAAUAAAGUCGGGUAUGCAUACCCGUUUGCAUGUACUUUAUGAAUAAGGAUCGGCUAACUCCGUGCCAGCAGCCGCGGUAAUACGGAGGAUCCGAGCGUUAUCCGGAUUUAUUGGGUUUAAAGGGAGCGUAGAUGGAUGUUUAAGUCAGUUGUGAAAGUUUGCGGCUCAACCGUAAAAUUGCAGUUGAUACUGGAUAUCUUGAGUGCAGUUGAGGCAGGCGGAAUCCGUGGUGUAGCGGUGAAAUGCUUAGAUAUCACGAAGAACUCCGAUUGCGAAGGCAGCCUGCUAAGCUGCAACUGACAUUGAGGCUCGAAAGUGUGGGUAUCAAACAGGAUUAGAUACCCUGGUAGUCCACACGGUAAACGAUGAAUACUCGCUGUUUGC